AGUAACGCGUGGGUAACCUGCCUCACACUGGGGGAUAACAGUUAGAAAUAGCUGCUAAUACCGCAUAAGCGCACAGCUCUGCAUGGAGCAGUGUAGAAAAACUCCGGUGGUGUGAGAUCGGACCCGCGUCUGAUUAGCCAGUUGGGCGGGGUAACGGGCCCCACCAAAGCGACGAUCAGUAGCCGGCCUGAGAGGGUGAACGGCCACAUUGGGACUGAGACACGGCCCAGACUCCUACGGGAGGCAGCAUG
rnacentral:rRNA from 1 species